AUCACAGUGAAUUACGGUGUGAUACCGGAAACCUUGAGAACCUUUUUCUGGAAAUAUCUUGGAGGAGUUGGCUGCGUUCAGCAAUCAAAAGCAGUUGAAAAUUCUGCCAUUGAAAGGCUGAAACUGAAAUGGAGUACAAAAACUAACAAGGACGACAGUGGUGUGUAUUUGAUGAGACACCUUGAAACUUACAUGGGUCAGAAAGGGUGUGAAUGGACUUGUGGCCUAUCAAAGAAGAGCAAAGGGGUGUUGCAGAUAUUGAGAGCCAAGUACUGUACUGCACUGAUGCUGGCAGAAAUAAAUCACGAACACUUCAAGAAUAAAGCCAAGGUAAUACCAUAUUAUGCAAAUGCACUACAGACCGAGAAGAUAGACGUGGAAAAGUUGAUAGCCAACUAUGCAAAAGAAGGAACGAAUCUAUUUAACUAAUUCACCAGAGGUUUCAUCAUUUUAAGUAGUUUUGAGACUAUGUUUCAGAAGUUUUCGCUACAUUUUGAAUAAUCAUUAAUGACAUUACACAUGAGGUGUUUUUUUUCA